rnacentral:rRNA from 1 species
UGGGGAAUAUUGGACAAUGGAGGAGACUCUGAUCCAGCAAUUCUGUGUGCACGAAGAAGGUUUUCGGAUUGUAAAGUGCUUUCAGUGGGGAAGAAGGAAGUGACGGUACCCACAGAAGAAGCGACGGCUAAAUACGUGCCAGCAGCCGCGGUAAUACGUAUGUCGCGAGCGUUAUCCGGAAUUAUUGGGCAUAAAGGGCAUCUAGGCGGACGAUCAAGUCAGGGGUGAAAACUUGCGGCUCAACUGUAAGCUUGCCUUUGAAACUGAUUGUCUAGAGUAUUGGAAAGGUGGGCGGAACUACACGAGUAGAGGUGAAAUUCGUAGAUAUGUGUAGGAAUGCCGAUGAUGAAGAUAGCUCACUGGACGAUAACUGACGCUGAAGUGCGAAAGCUAGGGGAGCGAACA